rnacentral:piRNA from 1 species
AUGAUGAUGAGGAAUUUGAACUCCCUGA